rnacentral:tRNA from 1 species
GCACAGGUGGUUCAGUGGUAGAAUUCUUGCCUUCACUGCCAGAGACCCAGGUUCGAUUCCUGGCCAAUGCA